AUUUCGUCCUUCGACAAUGGAUAAAAUUCAUGGGAGGUUAGAGAAUCACUCAAUUCCAUUCCAAGUCGAUUUUUACGAUUGUCCGGAGGUCCCGGUCGGCUUGGGAUUGUGCCAUAUUUCCAUUAGGCGAGAUAAGUCUACGGUCAAGAGUUGAAAUUUAGACAUUCAUCGACUUGAUGCAUCAUAGAGAUGGACUAUUAUCAAUCAUGCAUUACCUUCUACAAUUACAUAUUUUAAAGUAAUUGUGGGUGGUGGUAAAAAUAUUUUUUGACUUCUACGAAAAAAAAAAUAAAAUUUAUACUUAUUUUUAUUAUGUUUUAGCAUUGGCAUCGAGACACGGUACGUUCAUAUGUGAUGUUGUUUCGGUUAUGGCGUGCAACAU